CUGAGUCACCACAUGGAGGACAGCUGCCCAGAAGCAUCUCCUGACCUUCAGUGGACCCUGAAUGAGUGAAAAUUAAUCACCAAACGCUCAAUGUUCUCUGCAAGCACAAAGCCACAAUAGCUUAAUUAGCAUAUCAUUGUAUAAAGAUCAAUAUGCCAAAUCAAUAUCAGGCCAACAGGAGAUGUCCAGGGAUAUAAACCACCAGGCUUUAAGGGAACAGGACGGCCUCUGGUAGGCUCCACAAAGCAUAGCUCUCUGAGAGGCCCUGAUCCUGGCUGGCAUUAGUGCUCACCAUGCUGGUGAUAAAAGCAGAAAUGUUAGACCAUUCACUCCGAGGAUCACAGCCUCCCUGUACCAGCUGUGGUUUGCCUCAGUUUCCUCGGGAGGCUGAAGGAGGUACAGAGAGAGUAAUACUACACUAAAGGUGAUGCUUGAAUUCUAGGAAGGAGCACUGCUGCCUACACAGAGCUGUUGUUAUUAUACCGGCAAUGGCCUAAGGCACUAUGGACCAGGCUGGUGGCACACACGUUGGCAUCUUGUUCCUCACGCAUCAAUGACUGAACUGGUCAUAAUCCAAGAACCAGCCAAAGCCCCACAUCACUGCCUAGGCUGAUGCUUCUUUGCCAGAGAAGCAGUUACAUGUCUGGGUCUCUAAUUUCCCUGGAGGAUUCUGGGACUACUGCAAACAAUACUGCAAUUUGCCUGUAAGCCACC
rnacentral:lncRNA from 1 species